rnacentral:tRNA from 1 species
CCGUCGAUAGCUCAAUUGGCAGAGCGGUGGACUGUAAAUCCAUAGGUCGCUGAUUCGACUCCGUCUCGACGGA